rnacentral:lncRNA from 1 species
CCCCCCAGGAAGGACAAGAGCAACUUUAUCAACAGGGAGAAAGAAAGACCUAAACUUCAAUAUACAAAAAGUGGAUAAAUGAAGGAAAAUCAAAUUUGAGGGAGAAAAGAUAUCAGCCAACUGUUACUGGCUCUUAGGGAGAAGAACAUGUGAUUUGACAGAUACGUUUCCCUGACGAGAAGAGUCAAGCUGUUUAGAGAAUGAAGUGCAGCACAUUAGGAAACACCAUUGAAGAUGCCACUUUACUACCAUCACCUUCAGAAGCGUGUCUUCCACUGACUUUGCUGAUAGCAAGUGGGCUGUUGCUACAGAAUACAAUAUUUUCCUCUGAAACCAAGAUCUGUGCUGACUUCAAUGGAAAAUUUCCUGCUAAUGGAGCAUAGGAUUAAGUAAGAUGAUUUUAUUUUUCACCUCAGUGAAAACAUAAAUGAUGCAGUUGCUUUCCUUACCUCAUCUUUUGUAAAUUAUUAGCUAUACUGCAAUGAUAUUUACUUUGGAAGUAUAAUUUAGUAGGCCAGAAAUUGUGAAAUGUAAAUAUUAGUGCCUAACAGUGAUUUAGUUUGAAUAUAUGACAGCAAUUGGCUAAGUUCUUCCAACCCCUCUG